UUAGCUUAUAAAAUGAUGCCGAGAGCAGCAAAAGGUUUGGCUGAUUCUCCAGCACGUUGAGUGACCCACUGCUUGAAAAUGGAAAAAAUGACCACAAGAAUUUUACUUGAAACACUUCCUACCACCACUAAGCCUGAGCCUGUAGAUGUGAGGGAAGCCAGCGGAAAGAGGGAGCUCUGGUCAGACAAACAUUUACUUAUUUGGGGUCUCAUCUUGAAUAAUGCCACUGCUCUCUAAAAUAUUUUCAAACAUAAGGACAGUAUCUACCAGUGGAAUAACAACACAUUUUGACUUCCACAGAAAUCUGUAGAAGGAAGCGUGUUUCCUACUCUACAAAGACAGGAUUGGUCAUGAGACAUUGGUGGCCAGUGACUGAUGUGCUGUAGUGACCUGCCUUUCAUUUAAGUGGCACCUUUAAGGACUGCAACAAGAUCUCCAUAGCCCAGGUGGGAAGUGCUUCUUCAGCCUGGAUUGUGAAAUGAGUGAGAUGGGGCAGAGCCAUAGACUGACGUGGAACUGCAGCAUGGCAAAGUACAAGCUCAAUGGUCAGAAAUCAAUGUUAAUAGAGAAGUCCAGCUUCAUUUGUAGUUACAUCACUCCUGUUUUCAUUUCAUAUUUUACCUUUUCUUCCACUUGGUCUCCACUUUUCAUUUAUAAUAGGAAGAAGCAUAGUCUUUUCCUCCUGAUGCCUCUGUGUCAAUCUACACCUGUUCUUCAAAUCCGCCAUUUCUUCUAAAUUGUAUAGUCUGCUCUGAGCAAAGAUGAGAGUCCUCUGGAUCGAAAGAGAGAAAAAUAACAAAGUAAAAACCUCCAAUGAGCUCAGUGGCUUUCUUGCUCUGUACACUGCCUCCCGAUGAAGCUGUGAGGACAAGGCAAGGCUGGCUACGUCUGAGGGAUGUUUGCCCAUCACUUCCGGGUGGAAUUUGUUGCCAUGGGUCUCUACCACAACCAACCCCCCUCUGGCUUAGCCAUCUUUCCUCAGAAGGUAGUCAUACGCUGGGAUGGAAGUUUACUCUUUGAUCCUUGACUUCCUGUUGAAUUUAAGUCGCCAAGCCUCACUACCCUUGUUUCCUGGAGAGUUCUCUCAGUAUCAUGGUGACCUUUUUAGCCAGGGCACGUCAGUCCACUAUGGGAAGUUCCUCUAAUACUCAGUCACAAACAGUAUGAGAUUGGCCCUGUGGCCCACAAACAGAUGGUCCUCUUUAUGGCAUUCUGAAACCCCUUUUACAUUCUGUCCCAUAAGCAAAAGACAGUCCAGAUAAUUCAGAAAACAAAAUGCCACACACUGAAGGGAAAUGGCUGUCACUGCAUAUAUAGUGGUGCAUGUAGAAGAUUGCCUCAAUCUUUUAAAGGUACUCCAUUUCGCCUUAUUACCCAUGCCAUCCACCUCACCAUCGCCUAUCAAGUGUUUAGACGAAUGUUUAGUAUGUAUUAUGUGCUCAAUAAAUAUUAGUUAAAUAAAUGGCAGAAAUGUAAUUACAAAACAACACAUAAGAAUGAAUUCAGAAAUUAAUUAGACUUUAUUGACUCUAC